rfam:Pseudocohnilembus persalinus scaffold892, whole genome shotgun sequence.
GAUUUCAUAGUCAAGUGGUUAAGAUUUGUGAUUAAGGCUCACAAGGCCCGAGUUCGAUCCUCGGUGAAAUCA